rnacentral:rRNA from 1 species
GAGUUUGAUCCUGGCUCAGGACGAACGCUGGCGGCGUGCUUAACACAUGCAAGUCGAGCGGAAAGGCUCCUUCGGGGGUACUCGAGCGGCGAACGGGUGAGUAACACGUGAGUAAUCUGCCCCUGGCUUUGGGAUAGCCACCGGAAACGGUGAUUAAUACCGGAUACGACCACUUCUCGCAUGGGAUGGUGGUGGAAAGUUUUUCGGCCAGGGAUGUGCUCGCGGCCUAUCAGCUUGAUGGUGAGGUAAUGGCUCACCAUGGCUUCGACGGGUAGCCGGCCUGAGAGGGUGACCGGCCACACUGGGACUGAGACACGGCCCAGACUCCUACGGGAGGCAGCAGUGGGGAAUAUUGGACAAUGGGCGGAAGCCUGAUCCAGCAACGCCGCGUGAGGGAUGACGGCCUUCGGGUUGUAAACCUCUUUCAGCAGGGACGAAGCGCAAGUGACGGUACCUGCAGAAGAAGCACCGGCCAACUACGUGCCAGCAGCCGC